rnacentral:rRNA from 1 species
GUGCUUGCACUUCCCUAGAGCGGCGGACUGGUGAGUAACGCGUGGGUGAUCUACCUCGGGGUUGGGGAUAGCCAUUAGAAAUAGUGGGUAAUACCGAAUACGCUUCCAGGGCUACGGCCUUGGAAGGAAAGGCGCUACGGCGCCGACCUGAGAUGAGCCCGCGUCCCAUUAGCUAGUUGGUGAGGUAACGGCCCACCAAGGCGAUGAUGGGUAGGCGGCCUGAGAGGGUGUACGCCCACAUUGGGACUGAGAUACGGCCCAAACUCCUACGGGAGGCAGCAGCUAAGAAUAUUCCGCAAUGGACGAAAGUCUGACGGAGCGACGCCGCGUGGAUGAUGAAGGCCGGAAGGUUGUAAAAUCCUUUUGUCGGGGAAGAAUAAGCGCGGGAGGGAAUGCUCGCGUGAUGACAUGAACCGGCGAAUAAGCCCCGGCUAACUACGUGCCAGCAGCCGCGGUAACACGUA